AUUUUCAUUUCUUUUCCCACGUUUUUAUUUUCAUUAUAUUUUUCUAAACAACAAAAAAAAAAAAAAAGGAAAGAGAACAUUGUUGUUAGUAACACGCAGAAGAACAACCGCUCCUCAAAAGUCUUUCGGUCGGCGCCGCUUCAUGACUGGUUAGACGAAUAAGUGCAUAUAGUGUUGGUUGAUUGAAAGUUGAUUGUUAGAGGAAGGGAGUAACAACAAGAAAGAAUCAUUUGAGCCUGACGUUGCAAGUGAGUCUGAUUCACCGUUUAAGGCAAGAGGAUCAAGUGGUGGAAGCAAUAUCUGAUGCAAGAUUAUAAUUAGGAUUAUUACAUAUUAUAGUUUUAUCAAACAACAUUUUGUUGGGUUAUUUUAACAUGUGUUUUUGAUUCGGAAGGGUGGUCAAGAGUGAUAUUAAUUCUAUAUUUUGUGAGGAUGAAUUUUAUGCUAUUAUGAAUUGUUAAGUUACAUUUGAUAUUAGACGAUAUUUAUAUAUUUAUGUUGUUUUGAACCAA